CGGACGGGUGAGUAAUGUCUGGGAAACUGCCCGAUGGAGGGGGAUAACUACUGGAAACGGUAGCUAAUACCGCAUAACGUCGCAAGACCGAAGGGGGGGACCUCCGGGCCUCUUGCCAUCGGAUGUGCCCAGAUGGGAUUAGCUAGUAGGUGGGGUAACGGCUCACCUAGGCGACGAUCCCUAGCUGGUCUGAGAGGAUGACCAGCCACACUGGAACUGAGACACGGUCCAG
rnacentral:rRNA from 1 species